rnacentral:rRNA from 1 species
GGGCGCAAGCCUGAUGCAGCGACGCCGCGUGAGGGAUGGAGGCCUUCGGGUUGUAAACCUCUUUUAUCGGGGAGCAAGCGUGAGUGAGUUUACCCGUUGAAUAAGCACCGGCUAACUACGUGCCAGCAGCCGCGGUAAUACGUAGGGUGCAAGCGUUAUCCGGAAUUAUUGGGCGUAAAGGGCUCGUAGGCGGUUCGUCGCGUCCGGUGUGAAAGUCCAUCGCUUAACGGUGGAUCCGCGCCGGGUACGGGCGGGCUUGAGUGCGGUAGGGGAGACUGGAAUUCCCGGUGAAACGGUGGAAUGUGUAGAUAUCGGGAAGAACACC